CCUCCCCGUCUGACAUCUCCUUCAACAUCACCUGUACAACACAGAACAUUAUUCUGUUCAACACGGCUGUCAUCUGUUUAGCCUAGCUAGCUACUUCAGCACAUAUUAACUGCAGCUCUCCACAUCUCCACACAUUAAGUGCAGCUCUCCACAUAUUAACUUCUCGCUCUUUUUAGUCAAAAUAGACCAAAGUGACCAAUUAGACAAAAUAAAUGUCAAUCAGUCCAGCAGAGAAUGUCACAAAGGAUGUUAUAACAUAUAAAAUGUUAAAACAAAAUGUCAGGUGGUACAGAACAUCAAUCAGUCCAGCAGAGAAUGUCACAAAGGAUGUUAUAACAUAUAAAAUGUUAAAACAAAAUGUCAGGUGGUACAGAACCAUAAUUAUACACAGCUACAUUAGCUGAGAUAAUCAGAAAUCCAGAGAACUCAGAAAGAGCCCAAAAAUUACAUCAUGGCAUCAAAAAAGACUGCCAAAAAAAGUACAAACAUCAAACAGAAAACAUCAAAGCAUUCAAGCCUCCAAGCAUCCAGAACACACAUCAUUAUAACAGGGGGACCAUCAUCACCACAACUCAGUCUGAGGAGCUAGCAUCUUCUUCACCUUCAGAUCCAGAACUGCCACUAGAUUUGUCUUGAGAAUCAGACCUCUCACUUGAGGUGUGGGCAUCUAUUUCCUUGGCUUCACCAACAUUAUCCAUCUCUCCUUGCUCCAAGCUACUAAUUAGAACCUCUAAAGCCUCUUUCCUAGCCUUAGCCACCCGAAUCCCAGUCUCCAAUUCCUUAUAGGUUUCGUUCAAUUCAGCAAUCAGGCCACCUUGAGAGGUUGGCUUCUUCAUUGCAGAUGUCAUGACAAUGUCAUUGACAUGACUGCCUUCAAAUAACUUGUAAUGAAUUGACAAUGGAGACUUCCUUCUACUGAGGAUAUCACUUGUGCUUAAAAUACCAGGUUGCUGGCUUAGAAUUAUCCCACAAAUAAUUGAGGGAAAGGCAAUUGGCAGCUUUACUGCAUUAGUGGAAGCAUGUAUAACAAUUUGUUCAAACAUGAACCUUCCAUAAUCAAAGUUGAGUCUGGUUCCAAUAGCAUAUAUUAUCCUUCCAAGAGCAUUAGAGAUUGUUGAGAUGUGGUUUGUUGGUACACAGUUGGCUGACCCUAUCUUAUGCAAGAUAUCAUAUUUUACAGUUAAUUUGCCAGCAGAGAGAUGCUUUUUGCUUGGCCAUUCCUUGACUUGUCCAACAAUGAUUGUCCUACAGGCUUCUGUUUGUGGCCUCUAAUUCAACAUCACCUUAUGUUCCUAUUCCUAGGAACUUAUUGAUUAUAGUAGGGGAGAACCUUACACACCUUCCUCUAACAAACACUUUGCAAAACUCUUUGUUGUUCUUGUCAGCAAUAUCCUCUGGGAUGUUCACCACGAACUCCUUCACAAGACCUUCAAAACAUUAGGGUAAUACACUAACUGUUUUCAUUAAACCAGCAGACUUGAUCAACUCCAUAACCUCCUUUACUUCCACAACAUCCUUCCCUAGUUCCCUUUCCACACCAACUCUCCUCUGUAUCACAAAUUUCCACUUGGCUGCACCAUCUUCCAGAUGGAAGGAAAUGUUAUCCAAAUGCACAGCAGCAACCUUGGCAGGGGAUUUUCUAACAAUUUGCUUUUUGGCAAGAGAGAUGUCUGGGACAUCGUCUUCAACAUCAUCCUCAGAAUCAGAACUUUCUCUGACCUUUCUCUUCUUGACUUCCACUUUACUCCAUGACUUUGAAGGACCUACAACAGUAGCCUCCUUACUAGUUAUGGUUGUCAUCAUCUCAGCCACAAAUCUGCCUUUCCUGGUCUUCAUUCUCUUUGCAACACUUGGCUUCAAGUGAUGAAGCAAGGUGUCAUCUUCCUCAUCUGAUCUCUCUUCUUCCAAAUCAAUCACCUUCUCAGCAGUGUCAUGCUUCUUAGACUGAGAGGCAUCUACAGGUUUCUUACUAGGCAUGGUUUUCCCUAAAGAGCACAGUCCUUCUGCAGCAAUAUCUUUCUUUGACCUAGAUGAAUCAUCAUCUUUCUCAUUUUUAGGUUCCACCUCAGGUGAGGGGUCCCUUCUAGACAGAGGAGUCAAACUCCCUUGACUGAGUGUCCUUCAUUUAGGAUCCUUGUGACCAGAUUCCUAAUGACACGAUCAGUAUAAUGCAUGUCAUCCUUAGAGGGAGGGUUAUCAGAACUAUUACCUUGAUUAUUUCCUGCAGUGGANNNNNNNNNNNNNNNNNNNNNNNNNNNNNNNNNNNNNNNNNNNNNNNNNNNNNNNNNNNNNNNNNNNNNNNNNNNNNNNNNNNNNNNNNNNNNNNNNNNNNNNNNNNNNNNNNNNNNNNNNNNNNNNNNNNNNNNNNNNNNNNNNNNNNNNNNNNNNNNNNNNNNNNNNNNNNNNNNNNNNNNNNNNNNNNNNNNNNNNNNNNNNNNNNNNNNNNNNNNNNNNNNNNNNNNNNNNNNNNNNNNNNNNNNNNNNNNNNNNNNNNNNNNNNNNNNNNNNNNNNNNNNNNNNNNNNNNNNNNNNNNNNNNNNNNNNNNNNNNNNNNNNNNNNNNNNNNNNNNNNNNNNNNNNNNNNNNNNNNNNNNNNNNNNNNNNNNNNNNNNNNNNNNNNNNNNNNNNNNNNNNNNNNNNNNNNNNNNNNNNNNNNNNNNNNNNNNNNNNNNNNNNNNNNNNNNNNNNNNNNNNNNNNNNNNNNNNNNNNNNNNNNNNNNNNNNNNNNNNNNNNNNNNNNNNNNNNNNNNNNNNNNNNNNNNNNNNNNNNNNNNNNNNNNNNNNNNNNNNNNNNNNNNNNNNNNNNNNNNNNNNNNNNNNNNNNNNNNNNNNNNNNNNNNNNNNNNNNNNNNNNNNNNNNNNNNNNNNNNNNNNNNNNNNNNNNNNNNNNNNNNNNNNNNNNNNNNNNNNNNNNNNNNNNNNNNNNNNNNNNNNNNNNNNNNNNNNNNNNNNNNNNNNNNNNNNNNNNNNNNNNNNNNNNNNNNNNNNNNNNNNNNNNNNNNNNNNNNNNNNNNNNNNNNNNNNNNNNNNNNNNNNNNNNNNNNNNNNNNNNNNNNNNNNNNNNNNNNNNNNNNNNNNNNNNNNNNNNNNNNNNNNNNNNNNNNNNNNNNNNNNNNNNNNNNNNNNNNNNNNNNNNNNNNNNNNNNNNNNNNNNNNNNNNNNNNNNNNNNNNNNUCGAUGAAGUUUGAGGAAGAUGGAAGUGGUUGAGCUGAGGUUGCGUGUGAAAAUGCUAUAGAUGGUAGUUCCAAUACUAGGUAAUGAUUUACCAUAAAUGGGGCACUUUCUUUUAAGUGGGCAGACAAUAUUUUUAUUACCUUUUCCACUCCAAAUUAAUUGCUAUAAAUUCUCAUGGAUACAAAUCCCUAAUUUCCCUCUUAAACAUUCAAAUUGAUUAGCAUCCAAAGCCUUUGUAAAUAUGUCAGCUAAUUGCAUUUCAGUAGUAACAUGCUUCAGGGCUAUGAUUUUCUCUUCCACUAGUUCUCUAAUAAAGUGAUGUCGAAUAUCAAUGUGCUUUGUCCUGCUGUGCUGAAUAGGAUUCUUAGAAAUAUUUAUAGCACUCAGGUUGUCACAGUACAAUGUCAUGACAUCUUGUGUGACAUUGUAUUCAAUCAACAUUUGUUUCAUCCAAACCAAUUGAGAACAACUACUCUCAGCUGCUAUGUAUUCAGCUUCAGCAGUGGAUAGGGACACACAAUUUUGUUUCUUGCUAAACUAUGAUAUCAAGUUGUUCCCCAAGAAGAAACAUCCUCCUGAUGUGAUUUUCCUAUCAUCAGUACUUCCAGCCCAGUCAGCAUCACAACAUCCAGUCAGCAUGGAUCCAGAACCAUGAGUAUAUAACAUUCCAUAGUCACUGGUGCCAUUGACAUAUUUCAGUAUCCUCUUCACUUGGUUUAUGUGACAUACUUUUGGUUUAGCUUGAUAUCUAGCACAAACACCUACAGCAAAGGCAAUGUCAGGUCUACUUGCUGUGAGAUAUAGCAGACUUCCUAUCAUGCUCCUGUACAAACUUUGAUCUACACUAACACCAUUUUCAUCUUUGGAGACUUUCAAAUGUGUAGGAGCAGGUGUCCUUUUAUGACUUGCAUUCUCCAUGCCAAACUUCUUAACAAUGUUCUUGGCAUAUUUUCUUUGAGAUAGAAAGAUAAAAUCUUCCAUCUGCUUGACUUGUAGCCCAAGGAAAUAGGUCAGCUCUCCAACAAGGCUACUCUCAAACUCAGACUGCAUUUGUCUAACAAAAUGUUCGACCAUCUGAUCUGACAUCCCACCAAAUACAAUAUCAUCCAUAUAUAUUUGAGCCACCAUGAGUUUUCCUCCUUCAUUCUUAACAAAUAGGGUUUUGUCAAUACCUCCCUUCCUGUAUCCAUUGUUAGUGAGGAACACUAUAAGUCUUUCAUACCAAGCCCUAGGAGCUUGUUUCAAACCAUAUAGGGCUUUCUUCAAUCUGUACACAUGCUUUGGAAGAUUUGGAUAUGUGAAUCCUUUAGGUUGUUCAACAUAUACUUCCUCAUUUAAGUAUCCAUUCAAGAAGGCACCUUUUACAUCCAUUUGGAACAAUUUGAACUUCAGAAUACAUGUCAAUCCAAGCAAAAGUCUAAUGGACUCAAGGCGAGCUACAGGGGCAAAUGUUUCAUCAAAAUCCACUCCUUCAACUUGAGUAUAUCCUUGUGCUACUAAUCUUGCUUUGUUUUUAGUAACCACCCCUUGUUCAUCAGAUUUAUUCUUGUACACCCACUUUGUACCUAUGACAUUUAUUCCUUCAGGCCUAGGAACCAGUUCCCAUACUUCAUUCCUCUUGAAUUGACCUAACUCCUCCUGCAUGGCAUUGAUCCAGAACUCAUCAGUCAAGGCUUCCUUGACAUUCCUAGGCUCAAUCUUAGACACAAAGCAACCAUGUGAGAUCACUUCCCUUGAUCUAGUUCUGACCCCUUUAUUUGGGUCUCCUAUAAUGAGAUCUUUGGGAUGAUCCCUCUGAAUUCUGAUGGAGGUUCGUUGUUGAUUUUGUCAUCUUCAGGUUCAGCUUGAAGAGGUUCACUCUCAUUAUUUUUGUUUAAGAAAUCAGCUGAGGGAUCAUUUAGAGAUGUCUCAACAUCGUCUGUGACAUCAGUCUGUUGAUCAUUAACCACCACAUUGAUAGAUUCCAUCAUUACUUUUGUUCUGGAAUUAAAGACUCUAUAUGCUCUCUUGUUUGUUGAGUAGCCCAAAAAUAUUCCUUCAGCAUUUUUGGGAUCCAUCUUCCUUCUUUGUCCACGAUCAGUCAAGAUAUAACAUUUACUACCAAACACAUGGAAGUAUUUGACUGUAGGUCUUCUCCCUUUCCAGACUUCAUAUAAGGUAGUAGGAGUCCCUUUCUUCAAGGUUACUCUAUUGUGAACAUAGCAAACUGUGUUCAUAGCUUCAGCCCAAAAGUGGAAGGGCAAUUUCUUAGCAUGAAUCAUAGCUCUGGCUGAUUCUUGAAGGGUUCUAUUUUUCCUUUCCACCACACCAUUUUGCUGGGGAGUAAUGGGAGAUGAGAACUCAUGAUGAAUUCCUUCUGAAGAACAGAAUUCAGCAAAUUUGUUGUUCUCAAAUUCCUUCCCAUGAUCACUUCUAAUUUUGAUAACUUGACUUUCCUUUUCUCUUUGAAGUUUUAGACAAAGAUCUUUGAAGACUUCAAAAACAUCAGAUUUUUCUCUUAUAAAAUUGAUCCAGGUGUAUUUGGAGAAGUCAUCCACCACUACAUACGCAUACCUCUUCCCACCAAGGCUUUCCACCUGCAAUGGUCCCACCAAAUCCAUAUGGAGGAGUUCUAGUACUUUGGAAGUGGUGUCAUGUCUGAGCUUCUGGUGUGACAUCCUUGUCUGUUUUCCAAUCUGACAUUCCCCGCAGACUUUUCCUUCAUGAAUCUUCAAGUUGGGAAUUCCUCUAACAACUUCAACGAAUAUAAUCCUAUUCAUACCUUUAAGAUGCAGAUGGCCCAAUCUUUGAUGCCAUAUCUUCACUUCUUCUUCUUUGGCUAAAGUACACAUUGAAGAAUAACCAGUUUCUUGAGAACUCCACAUGUAGCAGUUGUCUUUAGACCUGACUCCUUUCAUGAUCACUUCAUUUUCUUUGUUAGUAAUCAGACAUUCAGUUUUGGUGAAGUUCACGAUUAGACCUUGGUCACAUAGUUGACUGAUGCUUAUAAGGUUUGCAGUCAGUCCCUUAACAAGUAGGACAUUGUCAAGAUUAGGAACUCCAGGGAAGUUGAGCUUACCAAUUCCCUUGAUUUCACCCUUUGCUCCAUCAUCAAAGGUUACAUAACUGGUGGCAUGAGGAUGAAGGCCAGUUAGCAGGUUUUUGUUUCCAGUCAUGUGUCUGGAGCACCCACUGUCAAAAUACCAAUCUUCUUUGGCUGAAACUCUGAAGGAAGUGUGAGCUAUCAGACUUCUAACAUCAGUCCUAGGAACCUGUUGUUUUUUGUUGACAGGUCUGUGAUGUUUGGGUUUAGGUUGAUGAUGAGAGGGACUAGGAUAGCCAUACAAUUUAUAGCAGAAUGGUUUUAUGUGGCCAUGUUUUCCACAGUAAUGACAUCUCCAUCUUUGAUGUUUCCCUUUCUGAUGUCUUCCUUUAUGAUGUUGUGACAUAUCAUGUGACAUCUCUGGUUUGCUCCCAGUGUGACUGCACUUGGGUUUGAGCUUUGGUUUGCUACCAGUGUGGCUGCACUCUGGAUUAGAUUCAUUGAACCCAAUGCCAAACUUAUCUCCUAUUAUUUGUCCACACUUCUGCACUUCUGUGGCACAACUUUCUGUAGGUAGUGGCCAACUCUUCAAAGGUUACUUCAUCAUCACUUGAGUCUUCAUCAGAACCCCAUCUUCCAUUCAAGGCAGUCACAAGAUUUGCAGACUCUUCUGUUUCACUUUCAUCAAACCAAGAGGCAGCAAGACUCCUCUUGUGUUUCUUGAGGCAGGUUCCAUAUUAAGUUCUAAUGUGUCAAUACCCAUCACAUUCAUGGCACUGAACUCCUUUUCCUUCUUUGGGCUUUUCAUCUGAUCUUGUUCUUCUUCCAACAUUGUUGGAUUUACUGAUGUCAGAUGAGAUGUUCUUGACAUUAGCCUUAUACCUUACAUCCAUCUUUUUCAGAAGUCUGUUGAACUGUCUUCCCAGCAUUGCUACAUCAUUUGCCAGAUCUUCAUCAAUAUCUUGACCACUUUCCUCCUCUUCCUCCUCAGUGUUUGACAUGAAGGCUAUGCUUUUGACUUUCUUUUCAGAUCCAUCACACAUUCCCAUCUCAAAUGUUUGGAGGGAUCCAAUUAUCUCAUCCACUCUCAUAUUGGAAAUGUCUUGAGACUCUUCUAUGGCUGUCACUUUCAUGGCAAAUCUCUUAGGGAGUGACCUGAGUAUUUUCCUCACUACUUUUCAUCUGACAUCUUCUCACCCAGGGCUCCUGAGGCAUUAGCAAUUUCAAGGAUAUUCAUAUGAAAUUCAUGAAUAUUUUCAUCUUCUUUCAUCCUUAAAUUUUCAAACUUGGUAGUGAGCAGCUGCAGUCUAGACAUCUUCACUCUAGAGGUGCCUUCAUGAGUGGUUUUGAGAAUGUCCCAAGCAUCUUUAGCCACUUCACAGUUGUUUACCAAUCUGAAGAUAUUCUUAUCUACUCCAUUGAAUAUAGUAUUCAAUGCUUUAGAGUUCCCAAGGGCUAAAUCCUCCUCCUCCUUGGUCCAUUGUUCUUCAGCCUUUUUAUCAGUAAUGGCUUCUCCAUCCUUAGUAAUAACUGGAUGUUCCCAGCCUGUUAAAAUAACCUUCCAAGCCUUAUUAUCCAGAGAUUUUAGAAAGGCUACCAUUCGAGGUUUCCAGUAGUCAUAGUUGGAUCCAUCCAGAAUAGGUGGUCUGUGAACAGAUCCUCCAUCUCUCUCCAUAGUACCAGAAAGUAACAUCCCUAGAUCUCACCCAGAACCAGGGCAGGAUGCCUGCUCUGAUACCAAUUGAAAUUCUGGUAUCAGAUAUGAGAUAUCGAAGGUAAUGUCACGACACUAAUAUCUGAACAAUACAAACAGGAUAAAAGAUAAAGAAUAGUAAUGCAAGAGACACAAGCAAUUGUUAACCCAGUUCGGUGAAAACUCACCUACGUUUGGGGGCUACCAAGCCAGGAAGGAAAUCCACUAAAUAGAAUCAGUUCAAAGACUCUCAGUAAACAGCUUCAAGUUACAGUCUUUUCACCUAAUCUCUACCCGUGUGACUUCUACCUAAGACACCUUAGCAUAUGAGAUCUCACUCACCCCCCCCCCCCCCUCAUCACACCUGUGAUAUAAAACAUGGAAUUACAAUGAAAAUAAGACACUCUUCAAAGACACACCUUGAUCUUACUUAACACUUCAAUCAAGUAGACACACACUCUAUGCUUAAAAGACUUAGAGUGACAAAUUACAACUCAAAAAUCAGACCAAUUCAAUCAUUUAUGGAUGAAUUGAAUGGCUUACAAUUCACACAACCACACAAGACUAAAACCCUUAUUCUCUCUCAAUAUUUCGUUUGUUAUUUCUUGUGUAUCAAAUCAGGUUUUCCAUGUCCUUUUUAUAGAAGCAUUUGGCUGGGCUUAGACAUCAUAAAACCCUAAAACUAUUUUCCAUUCAUAUCUUUUCAUGACAGUUGAUUAGAUCUCUUUGGAAAAUAAGUUAAUCCCGUUGUAAUUACUUAUUGAUAGCGUGUUCAAUCAUCUCAUCAAUCAAACAUAGAUUUGCAUUCAAAAUGCAAUCACAUAAUAUAUAACAUUCAGACUGAAUGUUCUAUAUACAGAUGUCAUGACAUCGGGUCUGACAUCUUAGUAAAAUCCUGCAUAAUCACAUUUUAAACAUCCAGCAGGUACAUGUUAUCUUAUGUUAAGACAACACAUGUGACAAUUAUGAACACUCUAGGUUUUACCAAAAUUGUUGCCAACACAAGAACCAGCAGUCUUAAACCCUAGAUGUUUGCUUGAUAGAUCAAAGGUGAGCACAUGCCCUACCUACAAAAGAGUUAGUGUAUACAAAGACAUAUAUUUUUUUUGGUAUUUUGGUUAGUGAAUGAUAAAGAUGCAAAGUAUGAUACAAUCAAAUGGUGCUUGGUGAUCUCUCCUAAUGCAAACCCAGUGAAUGAGGGGUAAGGAGGAUGCCAAUAUGUGAUCCCAAUGCUUAUGCAUAUGAUGAGAAAGCAUGAGGGAUCUUAGGGUCAAAAUUGGGGUCUUACACGUAUUAUUUUAGAACAACUUUUAAUUUUCGCAUCCAAACACAACCCCCUAUUUGUUACUCUUUAUACUUGCACAACUAUUAUUUUAUUAAAUAGCAUUACCUGUAAAAUCAAUAUCUUUUUAUUACUACGACACUAUCGAUACACUUGUCUAGAAGUCAUCAAGUUUUUGGCGCCGCUUCCGGGGACUAUUGAUAAUUUCAACAAGGCAACACUUAUGCAAUGUUUGUUUAUUUUGUUUUUGUUUUCUCAUAAAUUGUUUAACUACAAUGCUACUGAGGUAUUUCUUGUUUGUGUAUGUGCAACUCAGGAUCGACAUUGACACCGUUUGAUCCCAAAAUUGAAAGGACUGCACGUGCCAUCAGGAGAGAGGUUAGAGAAGUGACUACAACUCAAAGGACCUUUGUCAAAGACAAUUCAUUGAUUUCUCCGGACUCUGAAGAGGAAAUCAUCAUGGCAUUCGUACCACCACCUAUUAUGGGGGACUACUGCAAAAGGACUCACUGAGGACAUGUUUCUAGAGGGUUUGUACCGGCAAACCCCGCUAACUUUGACAUAAAGAAUUAUGUGCUUUCGGGUUUGAGAGACAAUUCAUUCAAUGGAAACGCAAUUAGAGAUAAGUGGGAGCAUCUUGCUCGCUUCUACGAAACAACCUCGAUGUGCAGGCCAACUGAGGUCACGAAAGAUCAAGUCAAGUUGAGGUUGUUUGGGUUCUCACUGAUUGGAAGAGCUAAAGAUUUGUUGCUUUGCCUUCCAAAUGGAACUAUACAGACAUGGAAAGAGAUGGAAAACAAAUUCUUGGAGAGAUUAUUCACCACCACUCUCUUUGCUGAGUGAAGAGUUGAAAUCCCAAAUUUUGAGCAGCAUGAAACUGAAUCUUUGUAUGACUCAUGGGAAAGGUUUAAAAUUUUAUUACGCAUGUGCGCAAAUCAUAACAUGAAUAACAUGGAGCAAAUGCAUAGUUUUAUCAAAGGUCUCACGAGUCAAACACACAUGUUUCUAGAUGCUUCUGCGGGAGGCACGAUCAGAAUAAUAACCAAACCACAAGUUAAAGACCUGAUAGAAAAUAUGUGCUUGAAUGAAUAUUGUUCAAAGAGUGAAAGGUCAGUAAAAAUUGAAACGGUAGGAACACCAAAAGGUAUGUUAUCUAUUGGUACUCAUACUGCAUUGUUAGCACAAAUUGAAUUAUUAAAUAAAAAGCAAGUUGAAAGCAGCUUGAGUAAAACUAUUGUGAGUUAGAAAUAAGUGUUGAGAUGUAAUUUUUAUGGAGAGGGUCAUGCAAAUGGAAGGUGCUUUUUGGAAGGAUUGAGUGAAGAAACUCAAAUUUUAAAUUUCCAAAAAAAUAACAAUUACUCUAACACCUACAAUUUCAGAUGGAAGGAUCACCCAAAUUUCAGAUGGAGCAAUAAUCAUAAUACAAGUGAUAAUCAAGGUGUUCAGCAAAAUCAACAAGCUUUGAUCCAAAAGAAACAUUCACCACUUGAAAAGACACUACAAAAAUUCAUACAGACCACCAAGAUCAGUUUUAAACAGGUAAAUAAACAACAUAAAUAAUGAGUAAGAACCAUGACGCGUCUAUAAAAAAUCUGGAGAUGCAAAUUGGUCGGAUAUCUCGGCAAAUAAUCGUUUUACCUAGUUCUAGUGGAGGAUUUACAUGUAACACUGUGGAUAAUCCUAAAAAUGAGACUUGCAAGGCUUUAUAAACAUGUUUUGAGGUAAUCACCAACAGGGGUGAGGAUGAAAUAGUGGGAAAUGACUUGAUUGAAGAGGAAGAAGUAGGGACUGAGAAGGAGGAAAGUAAAAAUCAGAGUGACCAAGCUGAGAAGAGAUCACCAUUUAGAAAUUAAUAAACAAAAACUCAUGAGCUACCCGACUACAUAAAAUUUCCAUACCCAAUCAUUAAGAAGAAACCACUAUAGGGAGAUGAGGCACGGUUGUUUGUCAGGUUUAAAGAGAUGUUGAGUAAGCUUCAGGUAAGUAUUUCUUUUCAUGAAGUUUUAGAGCUAAUUCCCAAGUUUUCUAAACUUAUGAAGGCAUUGUUAAAUGGUACAAAGUAGAAUAUGGAAAAAGAGUGAGUAAACAUGAUUGCGAAAUGCGAUACGACAUUGCCCCAAACAAUGCCACCAAAGCUGAAAUAUCCAAGUAAGUUUACCAUCUCUUUCACAACGGGUGGGGUAAAGAUUCCACAUGCUGUAUGUGAUUUAGGAUCGAGUAUCAAUGUAAUACCCCUUAAUAAGGAUAAAGAAUUGAAUUUGGGAGAGAUCAUACUGAGUAAUAUGACUUUUACCUUGGUUGAUGUAUUUGUUAAUCACCCUCAUGGUAUCUUAUAAGACGUGUUAGUACAUGUCAAUGGUCUACUUUUUCCUGCAGCUCUUUGUCAUGGUUAGUUGUAUCAGAAGAGGUUGAAGAUGGCAUUUGAUAAGAAGGUGCGUCCUCAGAAUCUCGAAGUAGAAGACUUAGUAUUGAAGAAGAUUAUGCCGAUUCACAAAGAGUCAUGGGGAAAGUGGCCCCCUAAUUAUGAAUGGCCAUAUGUUGUGAGAAAGGUUUUCUCUGGAGGAACCUUGAUUCUCUAAACUAUGGAUGGUGAAGAUCUUGCUUCGCGAGUCAAUGUAGACACAAUAAAAAAAUACUUCUCCCUAAAGAAUAGAUCCUCUAGGUUUAAAAUCUGAAAAGACGACUUAGGGAAAAAGGGACAUCCCGGUGGACCACAAAAAGAAAGGUCCGGGCACAAAUUAUGGAUAAAAUCAAAAGAAUUGAAUUAACCCGCCCAAAUGAAACCCGAAAGGGCGACUUAGGUAAAAAAAAAGGCAUCCUGGUAUACUUAAAACUCGAAAGGGCAGUCUAGGAAAAAAUUAGGGAUUUAAAAGGAAAGAGGUUGUGGUCUAUCAAGAAUAUGUGAAUCUCUCACUACAAACAUGGGAACCUCGAAUGGAAAGAAUUGAUCCAGUCACUCUAUUUAGAGGCAGAGUACAAGGAGAAUUGAGGAUAUAAGGGUUAUAUAAGAAUCGAAACUCAAUGGAAAUCUGAGCUUUUCUCAUUGUUGUUGUAUUUUUACUAUUUUUUGGCAGUUACCUCUUUUAGGAAUUGCUUCCUCGUAUAAUCAUCCAUUCAUGGACCCAUUUCUUAUUAAUAAAAUUUUAUUUUACCAAAAAUUGCUCCUCAUUUUAUUUUUCUGCUUGUUUGUAAAAUGUGAAUUUAUUUUUAAUAAACAAUGCAUUGAAAAUUUUGGGGAUAACAACAAAAGAAUUUGAAAGAAAACAUGUAUUUACUUUGAUUUUAAUAUGACUAAAGGGCGGACACAAUUUCCAAUUACUGCUCAUAGUACGCCGAGAUCACAGAGGUCACAUUGAUAUGAAAGGUUAUGAGAAUCGUCAUUCUCUCAAGGUAAUCAUAUUCAGUUUGCUUAAAAUCAGCAUAAGGCACUAGGUGAUCCAGAUUAACCUCAUUACUUCCAAGUAGUAUCAAGAAGCCAUGAUGUCGGAAAGUCAAAUCCUUUCUUCUAUUGAACCCAAAGCCCAACCCCUGUUGGCAUCUUAGGAGACCUAGCCUCCAUCUAAUCUUACCUACCAUAUAAUCUCGAGCAUACGUCGGCAUCUUGCAUAAACAAUCAUCAUUGCAUCGUGAAACGCAUAUCAUAUUCCAUCAAAAUGUAGAAUUACUCCAUGCAAAAUCAAACAUGCAUAAGCUACACGAAAGUCUUUCUCGAAAGCAUAAAUAAAUCUCGGUUGGAACAAUUCUGUUUCCCCAACUGAGAAUGUUAUCUCCAUGAAACUCUUGAUUGGUAUUUCUACAAGGUUCCCUAGAGUAUUCCCUAUUUGUUUUCCUUUUGUAAGUAACUUUUGACCUUUCUUCAGUCAUUUACCUUUUUUCUUCGUACCAAUCUCCAUGACUUUUGCAUGGAUAAGAUUUUAUUGAGACAACUUACCUUUUGUGAGUUCCUUCGUUGUCUUUCACGCAAAACCGCGUGUCGCUGCUUACCUUUUGUAAGUCCCCUUGUUUCCUUUUGCACGAGAAGGAUACCCUUGUCAGAACUUUGCACCAUGUUUUCUGUUGAAACACUUGAUGUAGGUUUGGUGAAUCCUAGGGUUUGGGUAACCAUUGUUCGAGAACUUCAUCCCCACUGUUAUGCCUGUGGGACAUAAUGAGGUUUCCGUGCCUAUUGCAAAUUCCUCAUCUGUCAGAGCGUGCCAAAGCUCAUGUUCAUCUGGAAAAUCUUUCCAAAGUCUAAAUUCCGUAUGGAAAAACAUCUUUAAAUCUUUUAUUUUCCUUUUGUAAAUAUUUGUGACCUUUCGUCUGUUGCUUACCUUUUGUAAUUAUCCCUCUUGCAUUCUGCAAGUCUUCCCUUCCUUUUGCAUGGAAAAGAUUUUGCUGCCUUUUGCAUGAAAUCAUGUCUUUUUGCUUACCUUUUGUAAGUCCUCGUUUCCCUUUGCAUGAGAAAGUUAUCCUUGAUAAAUUUUGCAUGUUGAUUUAUUUUGAAAUACUUGGUGUAGGUUUGAUGAGUCCCAAAGUGGUAGAGAUAUUUUAAAAGCUUCAUCCCCUCUGUUACGCUUGAGAGACGUCAUGAGGUUUUCAUGCCUACUGCAAAGUUCCCUCUUCCUUUUGCAUGAGGAUUAUCAUCUCUUUUACUUACCUUUUAUAAGUUCCCCUUGCCUUUUGCAUGGGAAGUCUCUUCUUUCAUGCUUACCUUUUGCGAGUUCCCUUUUUUUUUCCUUUCGUAAGUAUCCUUUUCCUUUGCAUGGGAAGUCUCUCUUUCACUUACCUUACCUUUUGUAAGUCCCCAUUUAUCUUUUUCAUAAAUACUAUCAUCCAUAACUGCUUUCCUUUUGCAAGUCCCCUCAUCCUUUUGUGCGAGGAUUUCUAUUCCGAAACCUGCUUACCUUUAUUAAGUACCCCCUGCCUUUUGAAUGAGAAUUUCGCUUAUCAGUUUACCGGUUAUAAGUCCCUUAUACCUUUUGUAUAAGAGAAUUACUUCAUCCUAUACUUGCCUUUUGCAAGUCCUCCGCCUUUUUCACGAGAGAUACCCUUCACCCCCUUUUGUAUGAGGGAUUGCAUUUUCUGUUCACUUCACCAAGUAUACCUAGCCUUUUUCUAAGGGAUUGUCGUAGCCUUUUACAAGAGAAUACCAAUUACUCCAAUUUUUCUUGACCUUUUGUCGAGAAAUUCUCAUUUCCUUUUGCGUGAGGAAUCAUAUUCAUAUCCAAUUUUUCUUAACCUUUUGUUAAGAAGUUUCUCAACACCUUUUAUGUAAGAAAUGUAUUUCAUCUCUCUUCUUAACCUUUUAUUGAUAAGUAUUCUUAUUACCUUUUGUAUGAAAAGUCAACACCCUAUCAUUUCUUCUUGGCCUUUCGUUAAGAAGUCCUCGUUACCUUUUGCAUGAGAAGUUUCCACCCUCAUUCUUACCAUUUUGUUAAGGAGUUUCUCAUUACCUUUUGUAUGAGAAAUCCCGUCAAACUUUCUUCUUUACCUUUUGUUGAGGAGUUUCUCAUUUUCUUUUGAAUGAGAAAUCAUUUCCAUCUUCACGCGUCUUCUUAGCCUUACGCUAAGGAGUUUCUCAUUACCUUUUGCAUGAGAAAUCCCUUCCAGAUUUCUUAUUAACCUUUUUUUAACGAGUUUCUCAUCGCUUUUUGCAUGAGAAAUCAUAUCCAUCUUCAUGCGUCUUCUUAGCCUUUCACUAAGGAGUUUCUCAGUACCUUUUGUAUGAGAAAUCCAUUCCUUUUUUCUUAUUAACCUUUUGUCAAGAAGGUCUCACUACCUUUUCUAUGAGAAUUUCAAUCCCCAAUAUACCUAUUGCCGAAGAGUUCUCAUUACCUUUUGUAUGAGAAUCUCAUUCCCAUCUUUCUUCUUGACUUUUUGUUAAGGAGUUUUCAUUACCUUUUGUAUGAGAAGUUCAUUUCUAGAUUUACCCUUAACCUUUUGUUAAGGAGUCCUCAUCACCUUUUGUGUGAGAAACUUGUCCAUCUUUCUUCUUAACGGAAGUUCUCAUUUCUCUUGCUAAGGAGUUGUUGCUACCUUUUGUGCAAGAAAACAAUAUCUCCAGCGAAGUCGUCCUUCACCUUCAUCGUUCUUCUUAACCUUUUGUGAAGGUAUUCUCAUUGCCUUUUUCAUGAGAAAUCACAUUCACCUUCGUGUGCUUUCUUAGCCUUUUGCUGAGAUUUCUCAUAUGCCUUUUGCAUAAGGAAACAUUACACCCCCUUUGUUUGCCUUUUGCAAGUCUCCUGUACCUUUUGUAGCAGGUAGUUUAACCAUUUCCCAAUCAAGUUACUUGCCUUUUGCAAGACGUCCUUUUCCUUUCGCAAAAUAUUUCAGUUUACCUUUGUAUCCUCUAUUACUUUCCUUUCGCAAAUACACGGUCUUCUUACAUUCGUGGAGAUCAAGCCUGAGGAGUUGUGAUGCUACAUUCAUUAUUGAGAGAUCAUCGUGGUGAUCAAAUGAUCAAAACCCUAACCAAGGACAAUUGGUGCUUGAGACCUUGGAAAUUACAUUAUGGUUUUCAUUCAUUGCCCAAACCCUGGUUUCUUAAUCUUGAAGAUGGUUGAAUCUCGUGGUUUAUUUUGAGGGAUUGUAAACCCUAGCUUGGCUCUUGGAAUUGGUGAUUUUCUACCCACUUGGCUUGAGGUUUGGUUAUUGGUUGACUUGGAGUUUGACCUAGCUAAACCCUAGUUCAUGGUACCAUCUGAUUGGUCAAAUAUGUGCUUGCAUUCAUGUUCUAUUCACAUUCCAUUCACUUGAUUACAUCGGCCAUGUUACAUUGGAAAAAGAUUACAAACUUCAUCGUUUUUGCAUUAGUUGACUUUUGGUCAACUAGUUGACCAAAGUCAACACAUCAUUCUUGACUCUCUAAGAUUUGCUUCUAUGCAUUUUAUCACGUUUCAUCAUAAAAAUCAUUGUUCCAUUGGUUUGUUCAUGACUUUGGGGCUUGGUCCAUUUUUAGGUCAAACCUUCAUUUGGACCUGCUUGUUUUUGCCACUUUUUAGUUUUUCAUCUCAUUAAUCAUUGACUAAACCAUUUUUAGCCAAAUUCAAUUAAAUUCAACCUUUAAUUCCCAUCAUAUCACAUAUAUAAUUCAAAUUCCAUAUAACCAUCUCAUACAAAAUCACAUUCAUUGAACCUCUGAGUUUCAUUUUUAACAGGAUUGUCACGUGCUUAAAUUCAUGUUGAACUCAUUAAUUGAUGUGGCUUUGACUCAUGUGUUGCUGACUCAGCUCCCGGUCAGAUUUUGGCCUUAUCCAAUUGUGUUUCAUGAGUUGAUUCUCGUUGGGCCAUGUCUUGGGCUUCUUGGCCAAUAUUGUUGAAUAUUGUAUAAAUGUAAUAGCGCACCCCCUUCCUAACUGCAUGUAUUUGGAUUUUGGGCCCCUAUUUGGGCCUAGGUGCAUCUGCUUCUGGAGCCUCUGUUUUGCCUUCUGAUCCCCCUAUUUGGGUUUUAUUUCACAUGCUUGUUAUUUGUUUUCUUUGUUUUUGCCAUGCGUAUUUUUAUAGGUGAUUUUAGUUUAAUAAUUGAACAAAUUAAUAGGAUUUAAUAUGCUAGUAUUAAUUGGAAUUUUAAUAUGAUUAGUGGUUAGUUUAGAAUUAAUUGGUGGAUUAAUUUUUGAUCUAAUUGUUAGAAAAUGAAUUUAAAAAUAUGUGAUUGAUCAUUGUUUUAGUUUUGUUUUGAUGGUUAGGAUUGCAUGAUAAUUGUGGAUUCUAAAACAUGAUUUGAUUUAAUUCAGACAUGUCUUAGUUGUUUAAUUAUUGAAUGAUUAAUUGAUUAAUUAUGAUUGAGUUGAUUUAAUUAGUUGGUCUAGUUUGAUUCAUGAACUUUUUUCUUGAUAGAACUUUGUGGUGUUGAUUUUCUUGUUUAGAUCACACUUUAACCAUGGCAUGUUCCAUUAGAUUUAAAUGUUUAUGAUUUAACUCCUAGGGUUUAGAUAUGCAUGUUCCCCUAGUUUAAGUUGAUUGAUUAACCCUUUAAGUUUGUUGUGUGCAUGACUCAACUAUAUUUCCAUUCCCAUUGGUUAUGUUGACCAAAGUUUACUUUGAUCAACCAAAUCCUUUGCAUUGUGCAAAAAAUCCCAAGCCUAUUCAAGUGAUCAAAAGACCCUUGAUAACUUGAUAGGGCAAGUCCCUUGUGUUCAUGUUGUAAUGGACCUCAGAAGCUCAAGACCUCAAGAUUCAAGAUCAAGAUAUCAAAACUUCAAGUUAGUACAAGGGAUUCACAAUGAAGACCGAGUGGACUAAUGUUCAAGCACAACAAAGGUAUAUCAACACUUGUAACCACGAUUCAAGUUGUGUGCCACGAGCCUUAAGAAUUGGAGAAGGGUAAGAGUGGAUAAUUCCUAUCGUCAUUCUGAAUAUCUUUGGGUACGGGACAAAUGAUCCAGUUGCUUAUCGUAUUCACCUCUAUUCAUAUAAUUUAGCACAAUUGGAAUCAAAUGAUUGUCAAGUCUUCUUCUUGAAAGAAACACUUCAUCACAGGAAGCAACAAGGAGAUUCAACUUUAACACUCGUCAAUUAUGACGCAAAUUGCAUGACAUGAGCCUUAAGUAAUAUAGGAGGGGUGAGAAUGGAGAAUUUAUAUCCUCAUUCUGAAUAUCUUUGGGUAUGGGACGAAUGACCUAAUUGCUCAUCGUAUUCGCCUCUAUUCAUAGACUUUAAUGCAAUUUAAAUUGAAUAAUUGACAAGUAUUUCUACACAGAUGUGGGAUGCAGACUGAAGAUCAAAUUUCAACCUUCUAGGGUUUUUCUUCCUUUUCUUUUAUUUCUCUUAUAAGACUAAAACCAUUUUGUGAAUAAACUCAAAAACAAAUAACAAUACGAUUAUAAUUGUACGCCAUGGGCCUUAAGAAAUAGAGAAGGGUGAGAGUGGAGAAUUUCUAUCCUUAUUUUGAAUAUCUUUGGGUAUGGGACGAAUGACCCAGUUGCUCAUCGUUUUCACAUUCAUUCAUAAACUUUAGCAUGAUUCAAAUCAAGACUUUCUUUUCAGAAUAAAAUCAAACUCACCUCAUCAAACUCAUUUUUUCCUUUGGGCAUCAUUAUUUGUUUAAUUUUUUUCAGAAAGGACGUGUUACUUCCGUUCUACCGUAAAUGAAGCUUAAGCCUCAGUGUGUGAGCAUACAUGCAAUAUUUAACUGCUAGAGUACGAUCCAUGCACAUCCAUUAUAUCGCAAACAAACAAAUGCUUAAAGUCUCUUAUGCUCGAACGUACAAGUCAGUUGACAGUAGCACGUGAACGUUAACACUGUUUAUUAAAAACAACUAAAGCAUUCGUCUUAGUUCCACGAACUACAGAGCUUUGAUUUCCUUAUUGCACUAUGAGGAUACGUAGGCACGAGGGCCCCAAACCUUGGCAAGCACCCAAAUUAUUAAACCUUUUUUCCCCUUUCGCGAGUAAUCUUUAGAUAAUAACGCCUGUUCUUUCAAAGAACAAUCAAAAUGGUUCCCAUUGAAUACAACAGAUGUGAGAGAUGCUAAUACCUUCCCCUUGCAUAACGGAUUCCCUUACUCUUUUUCUCUUUCCCUAAAUUUAACCGAUGUUUUCCCUUUCCUUCGGAAAUAAAUAAAGUUCGAUAACAACUUUGUUGUAUCUUUGAGCAUGUGAUGUGCUCAGGUAUAUUUCACGCAACUUCAAUCAUGACUUCAGGAUCAUUUUAAAUUUGGACCACCUCCUUAGUUCUGGUCAGGAAGUCAAAGUCAAAGUCAAUGAUGAUUUUUUGAUAUCCUUGCCAUGAUAUAGGGAAGCGAGAGACACUAUUCGUCCCAGUUGUGACCAUAAAGGCAUCGUCUCGUCCUCUAACUCUUAUCGAUUUGUCAUUCCAUUCUCUAUAUUAUUUUGAAUGGGGGUUGAAAAUUUUCCUUCAUGAUAGGUAGGGUAUAUAAGACAAUCCAACAAUUAGUAUCACAUAAAGAAAAAAAAUACCCAAACGGUAGAGAAAACUUCUAAUCGCCAGUAGAUAAUUUUGAAUGCCCUAAUCAUACUCUAGAUGUUGAGUGUAAUAUGGGAAGGAGUGUUGUUUUCAGUAGCUAGAAACUUAACUUCAAAUAACGUGAAGGGUAUUUUUAUGUGGCUCAUAUGUAAGCAAUUAACUAGUAUUGUAUAUUCUACAUGGAAAAGUUUCUAACAUAAUUUUUUUCAAAAGGAAGCGAAAAACUACUAUUAAUUAAAAUCAUGCUAAGGACUAUUAUUAGGUUAGUAUUUUAUGAUAAAUUCCAACCUACUCAAAAGAAAUUAAAAAAGAUAAUAAUAAAAGAUAUAACAAGGUGUAAGUAGAAUAAUUCAAUUGAUAGGCGUUAUUUGAGUUAAAUAAAUUUAAAAGGUUGGUUUAAAGUUUAAUAUCUAUCAGCGUUAUUUAUUUAUUUACUAUUAUAAAUAAAGUAUUAAUAUUUUAUAAAAUUAACAUCUUGAAAAAAUAUAAUAAGUGGUAUUCUCACCGUCUCAAAUUUAUUUUUCUCUUUAAUUGUUAUACAUUCUUUAAUAUAAUAAUUAUCUUUUAAUUUCAAUUAUAAAAUGAUUGUUAUACAUUAAAAUAAUUUUAUUCAUAAUCAAUAAUAAAGUAGCACAUAAGUUAAAGUAUAAAAAUAAGAAUAAAAUAAUAAAACAAAAUAUAAAUUCUAGAUUGAUAUUUAAAAAAAAUUAUUAAUAAAUUAAAACAACAAAGAUUAUGCAUAUUGUGAUAAAGAGGAGUAUUUACUAGGAGUAACAAUUAUUUAGAUAUUAUAAAAAUUAAAAGUGAUAAAAAAGAUACUUAACAAAAAAAAGAAAAGUCAGACUUUGAUUAUUCAAACUUUCAAAGUUGAUGGCUCUUAUAAUUGAAGUCGUUAUUCGUAGUUAUUAGAGAAUUGUGGAGUACAUGCUACAGUAUCCUUAUAAUUGAUUUUGGGGUCCAGCUUUUGUUUAUUGUCACACUCCACGAUAUCUCUUUAUACAAUAAUUGACAAACCAUAUGAUAAAACUUUGAACACUAAAAACUUUGAACACUAAAAAAGGAAAAAACAUUUACAAAAUUCUCCUAAAUCUAGACUAUUAAAGGACACAAUAAAUAAAUAAAUGGCGAAAUGUAAGUUUACUUUGAAAAUUAUUUUGUUUGAAAUUUCCACGGUAUCCAAUCAUAUUAGAGUUCUAGUUUGACCCAAAGCAUGCCACAAAAUAAUUCAGACUCCCUCCAUUGUUUUUCAUAAAUAUUUAUUUUAUUUUUUAAAUUUAUUAAAUAAUAUAUAUAUAUAUAUAUAUAUAUAUAUAUAUAUAUAUAGAUAUAGAUAUAUAUAAUUUAUAUAUUAGUUCAAAUAUAUUAUUUAUUUAAUAAAUUUAAAAAGUAAAAUUUAUUUAUAAAAAAAGAAUAUUGGGAGCGGGUCUAAUACGUGACUUAUUUAGGAAGUACGCGGUCUAGAAAACAAGCAUUCUAGAAAAUACGGAGUCAUUAUUUGGUAAUUCAUCCAUCUCACAGAGAUUCAAUAAAGUUUUACGUCGUGCUAAAAAUGAUGGACAAUCAAUUCUCUUGAGAGUAUUCCAAUAUGGCAAGAAGUAUGCAAUUGCGUUAAUGACAAUAAAUGUAAUGUCAAUAGUCUCAUAGUCUCACGUACAAAGUGGUACUCACUUAAAAAGUAUUUAUAAAGACUUAAGACAUUAAAAUAAAAUAAAAGAGUUAAAGAGGAUAAAAUUUCACAUGGACAAAUAUGGUAGUCCCCAAUAUUAUGCCACAUGUCUCAUCCAAACAACUCAUCGUCGGUGUCGCCACCGGCUCCGAAAUCGGGUCUGAGGGCGUGGGCAUAAAGGCGUUAGUGGUGGCUUGAAGGGGGCACUUGAACACUUAGGCAUGAUGCAUUGAUGAAAAUGUGUUGUUUCAUCAAGGGAGAACCAUUGCAAACUUAUGCUGAAAAUGUGUUGUUUCAUCAAGAGUUGCAACCUUAUGAAAAAGCACAAAAACGAGAGUACUUGAAAAUAUAUUAUUCAGUAUUAAAAAAUAAUUACCAAAAACUGUGCAUCCUCUUCACGUAAUUCCAAACACUUUUCCAUGCAUUCGAAUCUUCACCAGUCUUGUGCAGAUUCGAUAAGAAGGCUGAACAAUCCUAGGUAUUCUUGCGUUCUAACUCUAAGACUAAAACGAGAGUACUUGAAAUACUUUUAAGAAAAAUGAUACCAUUCACGAUUCAGAUCUGGAUCCGUUCAACCUUAACGAUUUAUAUAACAGUCUUAAAAGUAUUCAAAUAAUGGCUUCUGACGUUGUAGUUUCAAGCAUCAAAUUUAUGAACCAGAACCUUGUCAAGUUGGAUUGCUUUGAUGGAACCAACUUCACCAGAUGACUAAAUAAGAUGACAUUCCUACUGAUCGCUCUUAAGGUUAACUAUGUCUCAGAUCCCAACUUAACACCAAUUCCUGAACUAACCGAGGAUGACUAUGAUGAACUCAAGAAGGAGUGUAAGAAACAUAAAGAGGACGAAUUUCUAUGUCGUGGACAUAUCCUGAAUACGCUAUUUGAUCGUCUUUAAGACCUUUACAUGGAUACUCAGUCUACAACAGAAAUAUGGAAAGCACUUGAAUUUAGAUUCAAGGCCGAAGAGGAAGGUACGAAAAAAAAUUUAAUUUCUAAAUAUUUUGAUUUUAAAAUGAUAGACUCCAAACCAAUUCUUCCCCAAAUGCACAAGUUACAAGUUCUUGUGAAUAAAAUAAAAGCUGUGAAAAUAGACAUUCCUAAAACUUUUCAAGUAGAUGCAAUCAUUGCAAAGUUGUCACCUUCGUGGAAAGUCUAUAGAAAGAAAUUGAUGCAUAGUUAUCAGGACUUCUCUCUGGAGAAAAUACAAAAGCACCUUCGAAUCGAGGAGAAAUCAAAGGACAUGGAGAAAUCAGAGUCCACUAGAUUUUCCAAAUUCAAUGUUGUUAUCACUAAAGGAAAAAAGAAACAUGAUGGCAUGAAGAACCAUCUUGUCCCAAGGAAGGAACAUAAUAAGUUCAAGAAUGUUGGCGGUUCGAAAGGUCCAAAAAAUGAAUGUUCCAUGUGCGGUAAAUCCGGCCACUAUGCUCGAGACUACAGGCACAACAAGUCCAAAAAUGAGAUCAAUGUGGUUCAUGCAAAUGACGACAUAAUCUCUACAGUGAGCGAAGUAAUGAAAAUCAAAGGAAAAAUGCAUGGAUGAUGGUAUGAUACAUGUGCUAACGUACAUGUCUCUUAUGACAAGAUCGUUUUCAAAACCUAUUCUGACGUAAAUAGUGGACAAGAAGUACAAAUGGGAAAUGAAGUACGAUCUAUAGUUGUUGGAACCGGAUCCGUCGAACUCAACUUGACUUCUGGAAAGUAAUUCACCCUUACCAAUGUGCUUCAUGUCCCAUACAUGAAUAAGAAUCUUAUUAGUGGGGGUUUGUUGGGAAAACUGGGUAUUAAAUCUGUAUAUGAAUUAGCCAAAGUUUAUAUUGACCCAUAAUGGUGUAUUUGUUGGAAAAAGAUAUUCCGCUAAGGGAAUGAUCAAACAUUGUACUAUCGACAAUAUUAUUAAUGAAAUUUCUAAUUCUUCUUACAUGCUUGAGUCUUUUUCUUUGUGGAAUAAAAGAUUAGUAUAUAUCGGUAUUAGUUCUAUGAAGAGACUAAUUAAAUAUGAUUUGAUCUCGUAUAAUAUAUAUGAUUUCAAAAAAUUUGAAUUAUGUGUUAAAUCAAAGAUGAUUAAGAAAUCUUUAAAAGUGUUAAAAGAAAUACAAAUCUACAUAAUCUUGUACAUUCAGAUUUGUGUGAAUUUAAUGACAUGUUAACCCGUGGGGGAAAUAGAUAUUUUAUUACAUUCAUCGAUGAUUCUUCUAGAUACACACAUGUAUAUCUUUUGAAGCAUAAAGAUGAUGCUUUUAAUGCAUUUAAAAUUUACAAAGUAGAAGUGGAAAAUCAAUUAAGUAAAAGUAUCAAAGUCCUUAAGAGUGAUAGGGGCGAUGAAUAUUUUUCUACCGAAUUUGAUGCAUUUUGUAAAGAACAGGAAUUAUACAUGAUUGUUCUGCAUCUCGCACACAAUAAUAAAAUGGUAUAGCCGAUAGAAAAAAUCUAACAUAUCAAGAGAAGAUGAAUGCCAUGUUAAUGAAUUUUGAAUUACCAUUAAAUUUGUGGGAUGAAGCCUUAUUGUCUGCAUGCCACAUAAUUAACAGAAUUCCUUUAAAGAAAACCAGUAUUUCUCCAUAUGAGGUAUGGAAAGACAUAACACUAAAUAUCAGUUACUCUAGAGUGUGGAUGGGUGUGACCUACUAUAAAAACAUGGAUCCAAAAAGAACUAAAUUGGAUCCUCGCGGGAUAAAAUGUGCAUUUGUAGGAUAUGCACCAAACAGUAAAGCAUAUAUACUUUUAAACUUAGAGUCUAAUGCAAUUGUAGAAUCCCGAUAUGUAGAAUUUUUUGAAAAUCUUAUUACUAAGGAUAAGGAAUAUGAGUUUUCCGCAAAUAAAGAAUCUUGUGAAGAAGAUUCUUCUCGGACUAUAGAGAUACAGCCUGAAAGUACACCUCAGAUUAUUGUAAAGAAUCUUGUGAAGAAGAUUCUUCUAGGAUAAGCAAGAGAAUCCAAAAAACAAAGGCUCUAGGACCGAAAAAAAUUGAUCCUUAACUUAUUUCCUUUUAUCUAGUUGAAAUAAAUUGUGAGAGUCAUGUUCGUAGCAUUCCUAUUAUUCUUCAAGUAGACGAUUACCCUAAAACCUACAAGGAAGCAGUUGCUUUAAAGGACUCUUCCUUUUGGAAGGACGUCAUCCAAGAUGAAAUGGAUUCAAUUAUGUCAAAUCACACUUGGAAACUUGUUUAUUUAGCAAAGGGAUCAAGGUCCAUUAGAGGAAAAUGAGUGUUUAAAAAGAUGUAUCAUAAUGAUGACACUCUAAACACUUAUAUGACCAGAUUAGUAGCAAAGGGAUUUAGACAAAAAAAGGCGUUGAUUACUUAGAACCAUAUGCACCAGUGGCAAGUACAACAGCAAUUAUAGUAUUUUUUCAAUAGUCCCUUUGAAUGACCUUAUAGUUCAUCAAAUGGAUGUUAAAACAUCAUUCCUAAAUGGAGAUCUCAAUGAGGAAAUCUACACAGAACAAUCAGAAGGCUAUAUGCUCCAUGGAAAUGAACAAAAGGUGUGUAAGCUUGUCAAAAGUUUCACUCUGUUAUACUAUCAAAUGACUUUAUUCCUAAUUCUUACGACAAAUGUUUAUACACAAAGGUGCGUAAGGACAUGGUAAUAUUCCUUUGUCUUUAUGUAGAUGACAUGUUGAUAAUUAGCAAUGAUAUGAAUGUAAUUUUAGAGACAAAGAGGUUUCUAACUUCCACAUUUAAGAUGAAAGAUAUUGGACUAGUUGGCACAAUUUUAGGGAUCAAAGUAAAGCGAAAUAGGGAGGGUUAUGAACUUAGUCAAACAAAUUAUAUUGAAAAAAUGCUUGUUAAGUUUAAACAAGUAACUACUCCAUUUGAUCAUGGCGUCAAACUUCAAGAGAACAAUGGAAUAGUAGUGGCUCAAUUAGAAUAUGAAAGUGCAAUAGGGUAUCUUAUGUAUUUAAUGCAAUGUACCAGACCCGAUAUAUCACUUGCAGUUAGUAAAAUGAGUAGAUUUACUAGUAAUCCAAAUAAUGAACAUUGGAAGGCAAUCAAAAGGAUUUUUGGCUAUCUACUAAAAACCAAAAAUCUUGGACUUGACUAUGGUAUGUUCCCUUCCAUACUAGAAGGAUAUACCAAUGCGAGUUGGAUAUCUAAUGCGGGUGAUCACAAAUCCACAACUGGGUGGAUAUUUACACUAUCCGGAGGAGAAAUUUCUUGGAAGAGAAAGAAACAAACAUGCAUUACUCUUCCAACCAUGAAAUCAGAGUUCGUGGCUCUUGCUUCUGCUGGUCAAGAAGCAGAAUGGUUAAGGAACCUUGUGUUGGAAGUUCCAAUGGCGAAAGAAAAUGUUUCAAAGGUUUUGAUAUAGUGCGAUAGCCAAACCACUUUAGCUAGAGCAUUCACCAAAAUGUAUAAUGAAAAGUCUAGACACAUAUGACUUAGACACUCCUUCUUGAGAAAAUUGAUUAAGGAUGAAAUCAUUUCACUCACCUAUAUACGAACGAGAUAUAAUUUGUCUGAUCCAUUUACUAAGCCAUUGGUCAGAGACUUAGUAAAGACAACCUCAAGAGAUAUGAGGUUGAAACUCCUUGAAUAAGAGUCCUAACAACGGUGACAACCCAACCUUACGUUAAUAGAACAUUAACCUCAAGAGUCAAUGGGUAACAACAAGUUGUUGAUUUGGAUGUUUGUCGAACAUUUGAUAAUAAUGUUGACUAUUUUAAAUUGAGGGAUGGGUUUUCCAAAACUCUUAAUGAAGUUCAGUGUCGAGAAUAAGUAUCUCAUGGAAAAGGAUACAACAUGAACUUCACCUAUGUGAAUUUCGAGAUGGUGUCGUCUCAAAGUGAGAGUUGGAGUUUCUUUCACGAAAAAUUCAUGAAACAGGAAAGCACAUGGCCAUAAAUAAGUGCUAGGCGAUAUGUGUAGAGGAAGAACCCUUAAAGAAUGUGUGUAAGGUAACGUCGGUCUAAUCAUAUGGAUUAAUGGCUUAAAAGCAUUGCUACCUAACAUUCCAAUUAGACUUUGUGUUGUCCUCGCUAAGGUUAAGUUUUAAAUCGAAAGAUACCUAACUGUAUUAACAUUAUUUAUACAUCAUUUUCUGGAAUUAGACUUGUCAUCAUUGGAACAAGUAGGGGGUUGUUGGAAAUUAUGGACAAUCAAUGUCCAUAUAAGUGUUCCAAUAUGACAAGAAAUGUGAAAUUCAGUUAAUAAAAAUAAAUAUAAUGUCAAUAGUCCCACAUAGAAAGUGGUACUCAAUUUAAAAAAAUUUAUAAAGACUUAAAACAUUAAACUCAACAAAAGAAGCUAAAGAGGAUAAAGUGUCAUGUGGACAAAUGUGGGGUCCCAAAUAUUAUGCUACAUGUCUCAUCAAAACAACCCCUAACCGGUAUCGCCAUUGGCAACACUGGCUCUGGCUCCAGGACCAGGUCCGAGGACGCAGACGUAGAGGCGCUAGUGGCGACUUUUGGGGGCACUUGAGCAUGUUGCAUUCGAAUCUUCAUCAGUCUUAUGCAGAUUCGAUUAAAAUGUUGAAUUAUCCGGCAUAUUCUUGCUUUCCAGCUCUAAGAAUAAAAAGAGAAUAUUUGAAAUACAUUUAAGGAAAAUGACACCAUUCAAAAUUCAGACCUGAAUCCAUUCAACCUUAAUGAUUUAUAUAAAACAUUGGUUGUUGAUUGUCUAACACAUCCCUCGUCUCUUUAUUAGUUGAUUAUUACAUUUGAUUAGAAUCAUUUUCUAUUUGAGCAUUUAAUUUUUUUUAGAGAUAUCUUAAACAUUUCAAACUAUAAUUUUCUUGCUAGUUGCUUGAUGAAUUAGCUUUUAUUGUCAUUUUCUAUGAGAUAUGAUGGAUAUCUCAAACUAUUUGACGCAGCAUAAAAAAACGUCAUCAUAUCAGAGUCACCUCAUAAAAUAUGGCGUCAGAUACAUAAAACUAACAUGGAAGAAGUUUUUUUAUAAAAAUUAAGUAGAGAACUAAAAAAUUGGAUUUUUUUACAAGUGACUAAAAAUUAAAAAAUUCGAAAUAAAGAGCCAAAAAAAUACAAUUCAAUAUAUUUAGAGAUGGUUGAGUCAACACGUACAAGCAUUCAAAGUUGAACAUAUUGUGCAUUAAUGUCAUUGACAUUGACCCAAUACAACCAACUCUUCAACCCUAUUUUACUUUAAGGAUAUCAUAUUUUUAUUAAUGCCCAUCUCAUAUAGAAUGGUACACUGCAUUUCAUUUGACUAAUUACUAAUACUUCGAAAACAACAUCAACACUAACACACACAUAAUUAAAAAAAAAAAUUUAAUUUGUUAAUAUAAAUAUCCAACACCGACAUAAACACAUUUACAUUGAUGCUUAAUAAUAGGUCAUAUCAUAGGUUUCUGUAUUCCUCAUUAUAAAUUUUCUUUAAACAAUAAUUGUCUAGAUGUAUUUAUUUUAUUUUAUUACAUUAUAAGUAUUAAAUAAAAAUAAUUAAUAAAAGUCGCUUAUAACUCACCCACUUUUUGCUGAAAAUUCAAAUUAAUUUCAUAUAUUUAAAUCACAACGAAUCAGAACCAAAUUCAUAAACAAACACUAACACUCUUCAUUUCCAAAAGAAUGACUUCAUCGAUCAAUGGAAGAAAACCAAGUGAUAUUUUCAAAGCACAAACUCUCUUAUACAAACACCUAUUCGCCUUCAUAGAUUCCAUGUGUCUUAAAUGGACAGUUGAAAUGAACAUACCAAAUAUCAUCCAUGAUCAUGGCCAACCAAUUUCUCUUUCAAACCUAGUUUCAAUUCUUCAUGUUCCAUCCUCCAAAGUAACGUGCAGCGUCUCAUGCGUUACCUUGCACACAAUGGAUUCUUCGAGAUUGUGACGAAUCGAGAGAUGGAAAAUGAAGAAGAAGCUUAUGCUCUAACUGUUGCAUCAGAGCUUCUGGUUAAAGAAAGUGACCUUUGUUUAGCAGCAAUGGUUGAGUGUAUUCUUGAUCCAACGCUUUCGGGUCGUAUCAUGAGCUGAAAAAGUGAUUUAAUGAGGAAUCUUACACUCUUUGGUGUUACUUUAGGAUCUGGUUUUUGGGAUUUUCUUGAUAAGAAUCCUGAUUAUAAUAGAUCGUUUAACGAAGCCAUGGCUAGUGAUUCUAAAAUGAUAAACUUGGCUUUGAGGGAUUGUGAUUUUGUGUUUGAAGAGUUGGAAUCGAUUGUGGAUGUUGGUGGUGGAACUGGAACAACUGCUAAGAUUAUUUGUGAGACAUUUCCUAAGUUGAAAUGUGUUGUUUUUGAUAGGCCACAGGUUGUUGAGAAUUUAUCAGACACAAACAAUCUGAGCUAUGUUGGUGGUGACAUGUUCUCAUCUAUUCCUAAUGCUGAUGCUGUUCUUCUU
rnacentral:lncRNA from 1 species